AGAGCUUGCUUUUCUAGAGACCGGCGCACGGGUGCGUAACGCGUAUGCAACCUACCUUUAUCAGGGGGAUAGCCCGAAGAAAUUCGGAUUAACACCGCAUAAAAUCACAGUACAGCAUUGUACAAUGAUCAAAUAUUUAUAGGAUAAAGAUGGGCAUGCGUGUCAUUAGCUAGUUGGCGGGGUAACGGCCCACCAAGGCGACGAUGACUAGGGGAUCUGAGAGGAUGACCCCCCACACUGGUACUGAGACACGGACCAGACUCCUACGGGAGGCAGCAGUAAGGAAUAUUGGUCAAUGGAGGCAACUCUGAACCAGCCAUGCCGCGUGCAGGAAGACUGCCCUAUGGGUUGUAAACUGCUUUUAUCCGGGAAUAAACCUACUUACGUGUAAGUAGCUGAAUGUACCGGAAGAAUAAGGAUCGGCUAACUCCGUGCCAGCAGCCGCGGUAAUACGGAGGAUCCAAGCGUUAUCCGGAUUUAUUGGGUUUAAAGGGUGCGUAGGCGGCCUGUUAAGUCAGGGGUGAAAGACGGUGGCUCAACCAUCGCAGUGCCCUUGAUACUGACGGGCUUGAAUGGACUAGAGGUAGGCGGAAUGAGACAAGUAGCGGUGAAAUGCAUAGAUAUGUCUCAGAACACCGAUUGCGAAGGCAGCUUACUAUGGUCUUAUUGACGCUGAGGCACGAAAGCGUGGGGAUCAAACAGGAUUAGAUACCCUGGUAGUCCACGCCCUAAACGAUGAACACUCGCUGUUGGCGAUACACAGUCAGCGGCUAAGCGAAAGCGUUAAGUGUUCCACCUGGGGAGUACGCCCGCAAGGGUGAAACUCAAAGGAAUUGACGGGGGCCCGCACAAGCGGAGGAGCAUGUGGUUUAAUUCGAUGAUACGCGAGGAACCUUACCCGGGCUUGAAAGUUAGUGAAUUAUCCAGAGAUGGAUAAGUGAGCAAUCACACGAAACUAGGUGCUGCAUGGCUGUCGUCAGCUCGUGCCGUGAGGUGUUGGGUUAAGUCCCGCAACGAGCGCAACCCCUAUGUUUAGUUGCCAGCAUGU
rnacentral:rRNA from 1 species